rnacentral:lncRNA from 1 species
UCUUAUGCCCAUGUCUGGAACUGGAGUGGGAUCGGCCACAUUGAAAGAACACAGCCUGAGGGCAGGGAAGCUAUUGAGCCCCAGAGAGAAGUUAAAGUACUUUUCAUGAAAGGAUCAUUGUCUGUUAAGACCCCAUCGCAGAGAAGUUAAAGAGCUUCAAUCACCAUGCUUUCAGGGUCAAUUUGUCUCCGAAAAGGAACAGAUGGGGAAGAAUUAUUCCAUUCACAGUUGACUUGUCAGAAAUUCCAAGAUCUUGGACUGGGCUGAAAGCAAUGAUGUUGCCAUUCAUCCUUUCACGUAUUCAUUAUGGUCUACAGCUGAGAAGGGCUAUUUGGGGUUUGCUUUGCCUGAUGGUAGCAGAAGAAAACCAAGAGGCCUCUCUACGAAAGCUUGCAGUAAGGAGAAAGGUUCUGGAGACUGGGAAGAGCAACACAAAGAUAUUCAGUUGCUUGGUGAGAGCUGCUCUCUGCUUCCAAGGCGGCACCUUGUUGCUGCAUUCUCCAAUGGGAAGGAACGCUGGGUCCUCACAUGACAGAAGGUGGAAAGGGCAGAGAUCUGGGAACCUGAUGUGGGAAGAAAUCUCAUCUGUGACCACGAUUUUGUCAGGAGUCACGGGAUUCUAUAGCUGCAGCAAACCUGGAGCAAACUGGUCCCCACCAAUCUGGGUGAGACAAACCAAUGAUGACUGAAAAUCACAAUAAAAUUGUAAUACUCGAGAUCUCAAAG